GUUGUAUGGUUAAGUGACUAAGCGUACACGGUGGAUGCCUAGGCAGUCAGAGGCGAUGAAGGACGUACUAACUUGCGAUAAGCGCAGAUAAGGCAGUAAGAGCCGUUUGAGUCUGCGAUUUCCGAAUGGGGAAACCCAACUGCAUAAGCAGUUACUGUUAACUGAAUACAUAGGUUAACAGAGCAAACCGGGGGAACUGAAACAUCUAAGUACCCCGAGGAGAAGAAAUCAACCGAGAUUCCGGUAGUAGCGGCGAGCGAACCUGGAUUAGCCCUUAAGCACUCGGUGAAGUAGGUGAACAAGCUGGAAAGCUUGGCGAUACAGGGUGAUAGCCCCGUAACCGACGCUUCAUCGAGCGUGAAAUCGAGUAGGGCGGGACACGUGAUAUCCUGUCUGAAUAUGGGGGGACCAUCCUCCAAGGCUAAAUACUCCUGACUGACCGAUAGUGAACCAGUACCGUGAGGGAAAGGCGAAAAGAACCCCUGUGAGGGGAGUGAAAUAGAACCUGAAACCGUGUACGUACAAGCAGUAGGAGCACCUUCGUGGUGUGACUGCGUACCUUUUGUAUAAUGGGUCAGCGACUUAUAUUCAGUGGCAAGGUUAACCGUAUAGGGGAGCCGUAGCGAAAGCGAGUCUUAACUGGGCGUUCAGUCUCUGAAUAUAGACCCGAAACCGGGUGAUCUAGCCAUGGGCAGGUUGAAGGUUGAGUAACAUCAACUGGAGGACCGAACCGACUAA
rnacentral:rRNA from 1 species